rnacentral:rRNA from 1 species
CAGGUCACUCCUACGGGAGGCAGCAGUGGGGAAUUUUGGACAAUGGGGGCAACCCUGAUCCAGCAAUGCCGCGUGUGUGAAGAAGGCCUUCGGGUUGUAAAGCACUUUUGUCCGGAAAGAAAACCGCUUCUCUAAUACAGAGGCGGGAUGACGGUACCGGAAGAAUAAGCACCGGCUAACUACGUGCCAGCAGCCGCGGUAAUACGUAGGGUGCGAGCGUUAAUCGGAAUUACUGGGCGUAAAGCGUGCGCAGGCGGUCUGUUAAGACAGAUGUGAAAUCCCCGGGCUUAACCUGGGAACUGCAUUUGUGACUGGCAGGCUAGAGUAUGGCAGAGGGGGGUAGAAUUCCACGUGUAGCAGUGAAAUGCGUAGAGAUGUGGAGGAAUACCGAUGGCGAAGGCAGCCCCCUGGGCCAAUACUGACGCUCAUGCACGAAAGCGUGGGGAGCAAACAGGAUUAGAUACCCUGGUAGUCCACGCCCUAAACGAUGUCAACUAGUUGUUGGGGAUUCAUUUCCUUAGUAACGUAGCUAACGCGUGAAGUUGACCGCCUGGGGAGUACGGUCGCAAGAUUAAAACUCAAAGGAAUUGAC